rnacentral:rRNA from 1 species
AUACGGAGGGUGCGAGCGUUAAUCGGAAUUACUGGGCGUAAAGCGUACGUAGGCGGUUUGCUAAGUCGGAUGUGAAAGCCCCGGGCUUAACCUGGGAACUGCAUUUGAUACUGGCAGACUAGAGUAUGAUAGAGGGGGGUAGAAUUCCUGGUGUAGCGGUGAAAUGCGUAGAUAUCAGGAGGAAUACCAGUGGCGAAGGCGGCCCCCUGGAUCAAUACUGACGCUGAGGUACGAAAGCGUGGGGAGCGAACAGGAUUAGAUACCCUAGUAGUCC